CACUUAGUCAAAAUACUUUUAAUGACUACUCAAUAACACUAAAAUAAAAUUGUUCCUUCUGCAAAAUGUUAGUUCACAAAACCAAAUGUUUUUGUUUUCUUCAAGUUUAUUUAUUCCACCAUAGACUAGAAAUACAGAUCAAAAUAUCACUAGUUCAAAAUAAAAAGUAAAUUGUAUCAAAUUUAAAAACAACAUUCAAUGUUGAUGCAAGAGAAAAUAAAAUACAUCUGAUAAAAAUCUGCUUAGCAACCAAAUAGAAAAUGUCAAACUUUGAAAAAUUUGGCAGUCUAGGACUAAGUCUGUAAUACAAAAGAAAAACAUGUAGAACCACUAAACCAAUUGUCUCCAAACAAGAUAGAGCUACUAGUAGCCAUUGCACUUUGUGUGCUUUGUCUAGAUAGAGUAUCAAACAAAAUAAAAAGAUAACUAAACUGAAUGAUAGUUGAAAGUAGGCAUAGAUAGCUCAGAACUGAAUGAAAGUAGGCAUAGAU